rnacentral:rRNA from 1 species
UACGUAGGGUGCGAGCGUUGUCCGGAAUUAUUGGGCGUAAAGGGCUCGUAGGCGGUCUGUUGCGUCAGGGAGUGAAAACUCGGGGCUUAACCCCGAGCCUGCUUCUGAUACGGGCAGACUAGAGGUAUGCAGGGGAGAACGGAAUUCCUGGUGUAGCGGUGAAAUGCGCAGAUAUCAGGAAGAACACCCGUGGCGAAGGCGGCUCUCUGGGACGGUACUGACGCUGAGACGCGAAAGCGUGGGGAGCGAACAGG